rnacentral:rRNA from 1 species
GACGAACGCUGGCGGCGCGCUUAACACAUGCAAGUCGAGCGAAGCGGCGGACGGGUGAGUAACACGUGAGUAACCUGCCUUAGACAUUGGGAUAGCCUCGGGAAACCGGGAUUAAUACCAAAUGGUCUAAGAUGGACUCGCGUCCCAUUAGCUAGUUGGUGGGUAACGGCUCACCAUAGUAACGAUGGGUAACCGGCCUGAGAGGGUGGACGGUCACACGGGAACUGAGACACGGUCCAGACUCUACGGGAGGCAGCAGUGGGGAAUAUUGCACAAUGGAGGGAACUCUGAUGCAGCGACGCCGCGUGAGUGAUGAAGGAAUUCGUUUCGUAAAACUCUGUUCUAUGGGAAGCUGUACCAUAGGAGAAAGCUCCGGCUAAAUACGUGCCAGCAGCCGCGGUAAUAC